AUGCACCACGCGUGCAUUCGGGUUCCUGCGCGCCAUGCGCACCCGCCUGGGGGCUGCUCGCGGCGCGCCGUUACCG
rnacentral:sRNA from 1 species